ACCCUCCAAAUUCCUUACCUUUUAGAUCUAAAUAUUGAUUUGAGUGGCAAAAAAGGGAGUGAUGGUAAAACUGAAAUGGAGUCUUUAGUGACAUACAAGUUCAUUUCAAACGUUU
rnacentral:snoRNA from 1 species